UGGAUAGGGGUUCUGAGAGGAAGGUCCCCCACAUUGGAACUGAGACACGGUCCAAACUCCUACGGGAGGCAGCAGUGAGGAAUAUUGGUCAAUGGACGAGAGUCUGAACCAGCCAAGUAGCGUGAAGGAUGACUGCCCUAUGGGUUGUAAACUUCUUUUAUAUGGGAAUAAAACGUUCCACGUGUGGGAUUUUGUAUGUACCAUAUGAAUAAGGAUCGGCUAACUCCGUGCCAGCAGCCGCGGUAAUACGGAGGAUCCGAGCGUUAUCCGGAUUUAUUGGGUUUAAAGGGAGCGUAGGUGGAUUGUUAAGUCAGUUGUGAAAGUUUGCGGCUCAACCGUAAAAUUGCAGUUGAAACUGGCAGUCUUGAGUACAGUAGAGGUGGGCGGAAUUCGUGGUGUAGCGGUGAAAUGCUUAGAUAUCACGAAGAACUCCGAUUGCGAAGGCAGCUCACUGGACUGCAACUGACACUGAGGCUCGAAAGUGUGGGUAUCAAACAGGAUUAGAUACCCUGGUAGUCCACACAGUAAACGAUGAAUACUCGCUGUUUGCGAUAUACAGUAA
rnacentral:rRNA from 1 species